CGAGGGAAGGGGGUCAUUAGUUCCUCACUUCGUCUAUUUAUACUCUCUUUGGUGCCUCACAUUCACAGAGCACGGAGUACUGGAGCAGGCCGCCAAUUGGAGAUGAUGUAGCUGCCACCGAUCGAGCCCAAUGGAGGAGUAGGGAAAGGCAGACAGAGCCGCCGGAACUUAUUGGACUGGGUGCCUUGGGAAGUUCUAUUACAACUGAGAGUUUAGAGACAGAUCUCUCUCUCUCUCUCUCGUAUAAGUGCUGAACCUUCCCAAGGCCUCCCAUGCCGAUGAUUUCCUGUGGUUCCUCCCUUUCCUUUUCUCUCUACUAUAAAAAGCUUCUUUCACUUGAUAUGCGGUGUUUCUUCUUUUCACCUGGCAUCGAAUUAUCGGGUGCCGUGGUUAGACGUCUAUAGUUCGGUUUUGGUUUAGUGGCCUGGACAGGGUGAUGGAAAUCAGGGAAUGUGAUGUGGAUUCGAUUCACUAACAUCAUUUGGAUGUAUUUUUUGGUAUUUAUUUAGAUGAUUUUUGGGAAUAGCUCAUUUGGCUGCAGAAAAAAUUGUCUCUUUACUGCUCGGUGGAUUGUGGCCAGUCAAGGGCUUAAUUAUUUAGGGUUUAAGGUUUAUGAAUCUACGAUUUUGGAUUUGGUAAUGCUUCACUACAUGGUUUUUGUUUAUUUAUCCGACAAUAUCAACUUCUUUUUACGAUUCCUCUGUAUUAUCCACCGGAGUCGCUUUUAUCAUGGUCGAGUAAAGUUUAUCUAAUGUCGACACUUGGUUAUCUCACUAUUCAUCUGGUCCGGUUAGUUCAUUAAGUAGUCAUUCUCUCGGUUUUUGAUAAAGAACUGUUUGUUGUAGUAGCUGAUAUUCUAUAAUGCUAUCUUAAAAUUUAUGUUUUCGCUUUAGUCAAAUCGGUUUAAAGACUGCUAUUUUUAUCUGAUCGGAACACCUGUCUAAAUAGCAACGAGUGGCCGGUAGAUUAUAUGAAGAUGAAAUCUGUUCCUCCAAACAUCAAAUCGGUUUAAAGACUGCUAUAUUUAUCUGAACGGAACACUUGUCUAAA